rnacentral:rRNA from 1 species
UACGAAGGGGGCUAGCGUCGUUCGGAAUUACUGGGCGUAAAGCGCGCGCAGGCGGCUUCUUAAGUCUGUCGGUGAAAUGCCGGGGCUCAACCCCGUGCCCGCCGGAGAUACUGGGGAGCUGGAGACGAGUAGAGGCAAGCGGAAUUCCGGGUGUAGCGGUGGAAUGCGCAGAGAUCCGGAAGAACACCGGAGGCGAAGGCGGCUUGCUGGGCGUGAUCUGACGCUGAGGCGCGAAGGCUAGGGGAGCAAACAGG